rnacentral:rRNA from 1 species
CAGUCGCCGCGGUAAUACGAAGGGGGCUAGCGUUGCUCGGAAUUACUGGGCGUAAAGGGAGCGUAGGCGGAUCGUUUAGUCAGGGGUGAAAUCCCGGGGCUCAACCUCGGAACUGCCUUUGAUACUGGCGAUCUUGAGUAUGGGAGAGGUGUGUGGAACUCCGAGUGUAGAGGUGAAAUUCGUAGAUAUUCGGAAGAACACCAGUGGCGAAGGCGACACACUGGCCCAUUGCUGACGCUGAGGCUCGAAAGCGUGGGGAGCAAACAGGAUUAGAUACCCCAGUAGUCCCUGUCUCUUAUAC